GUGGGGAAUUUUGGACAAUGGGCGCAAGCCUGAUCCAGCAAUGCCGCGUGCAGGAAGAAGGCCUUCGGGUUGUAAACUGCUUUUGUACGGAACGAAACGGUCCUGGUUAAUACCUGGGGCUAAUGACGGUACCGUAAGAAUAAGCACCGGCUAACUACGUGCCAGCAGCCGCGGUAAUACGUAGGGUGCGAGCGUUAAUCGGAAUUACUGGGCGUAAAGCGUGCGCAGGCGGUGCUGUAAGACAGGCGUGAAAUCCCCGGGCUCAACCUGGGAAUUGCGCUUGGGACUGCAGUGCUGGAGUACGGCAGAGGGGGAUGGAAUUCCGCGUGUAGCAGUGAAAUGCGUAGAUAUGCGGAGGAACACCGAUGGCGAAGGCAAUCCCCUGGGCCUGCACUGACGCUCAUGCACGAAAGCGUGGGGAGCAAACAGGAUUAGAUACCCUGGUAGUCC
rnacentral:rRNA from 1 species